rnacentral:lncRNA from 1 species
UUUGUCCCGGCAGCAGCAGCCCGCAGCUCUAUCCCAUUUUCUGUGUCUAGAGGGAAGGAAGCGGACUCUAUCUGGUAGGUUUAGUUCAGUGUGGCACCGGCUUACCCUUCUCUCCAGGACAACGCCUAGCGAAGGGUGGAGGAGUCCCGGAGUUGUCCGAAAGAGUUGUGAAGACAACAGACAACUCCAUGACAACCCAAAGUACCACAGGGAAAUGAAAAGCUGUGGAUUCUUUCAAAGUUAAUUAAGAUUGGGUUUGACAAUGGAAGACCUCCAGAAAAUCUUGGCUGCUGAUGUGGAAAAAGAGACCCAGAAGAACAACCAAACAGCAAAGCGUUUAUUGCAUCUUGAAGAGGAGAGCUCAACUUGGAAUUUCUAUCGCUACAGGAUCAGAUGUGUUUGUGGCCAAGAUAGCGUGACCGAUGGCUAAAGGGCUAAAGAUCACCUGGAUAUUAAAUAGGGCAUAAGGCCCUCAGAGCUCUGGGCUGGGGGAGCAUAAGAAUCAGACACUGAAGUUAUUAGACUUACCGCUACCAAACAAUUCUUUACUUAGAUUAUAGGUGCCCUCCUCCCAUUGUUAGCAUGGGGGAUAUUAGGAUAAUAUCACUUUAAGAUAACACAUGAGGGGUUGGGGAUUUAGCUCAGUGGUAGAGCGCUUGCCUAGGAAGCGCAAGGCCCUGGGUUCGAUCCCCAGCUCCGAAAAAAAAAAGAACCAAA